GUGUCCGUAUUUAUAGGUGCGCGCGCCCCGCGCUCGCGCUCCGGAGCGCUCUUUGCAAUAACACAGUAUCACGUGUGGGGAAUGAAACCUGAGAGGAAAACAAAGCCGCCGGCGGCGGCCGCGGAGGCAGGCGGCGGGGGCGAGGGGCCGGAGGAGGAAGAGGAGGAGGAAGGGAAAGCCGCGCGGGCGGCGGCGCGGGUAGUCCAGGCUUCCUGCGGGCAGAGUUGGUAGCCCCCGGGGCGCGCGGGACCCAGACGAGGGAGGCGAGCACGUUUCCCCGCCGCGCUCGGGCUGGGAAUUGGGGCGCGAGCAGAACCCCGUCGAAGAUGCAGCCCCUGAGAUAAAUGCACGCCCCGGGGAGCAUAAGAGCCUAGGCGGUGAACAUCUUCGUGUGACCAGACUCAUUUAUAGAUCCCCAUUUUAUGGUGCUGUCACUUCUCAUCUCUUUCUUAGCAAAGAUCAACAUAAAUUUUUACUGUGGGCCUGAAAUGUACUCUUUUCUAUGAAGACUGAAGUAGGCUAAAAUGGGCUCACACCCUUUCCCCUUGUCACCUUGCAAAUUUUUGUGGAUUAAGAUCUCUGGUUCUCCCAUAUAAACAGUACAGACAAUUAC